rnacentral:rRNA from 1 species
CCUACGGGAGGCAGCAGUGGGGAAUAUUGCACAAUGGGGGAAACCCUGAUGCAGCGACGCCGCGUGAGUGAAGAAGUAAUUCGGUUUGUAAAGCUCUAUCAGCAGGGAAGAAAAUGACGGUAUCUGAGUAAGAAGCCCCGGCUAACUACGUGCCAGAAGCCGCGGUAAUACGUAGGGGGCAAGCGUUAUCCGGAUUUACUGGGGGUAAAGGGAGCGUAGACGGCAGUGCAAGUCUGAAGUGAAAGGCGGGGGCUCAACCCCCGGACUGCUCUGGAAACUGUACGGCUGGAGUGCAGGAGAGGUAAGUGGAAUUCCUAGUGUAGCGGUGAAAUGCGUAGAUAUUAGGAAGAACAACAGUGGCGAAGGCGGAUUACUGGACGGUAACUGACGGUGAGGCGCGAAAGCGUUGGGAGCAAACAGGAUUAGAUACCCGAGUAGUC